rnacentral:lncRNA from 1 species
ACACAACCCGACAAGGGCCUUUUCAUAAUGGGUAUCCCAAUUCUGAUCGGGAUAAGAGAGCACCCCCGUUACCUAACCCAACCACUAACUGCUUGCCUUGAGUUGGCUGAAUCUCAAGCAUAUUACAAGAUAGUGUAACAACUCAUAUAAAGAUUCUAGAAUAGGAUCACAACUAUGACUAGCCCAACCAAGUCCUACCAUACCAUACC